GCGCCCGUAGCUCAACUGGACAGAGUGCCGGGCUUCGAACCCGGAGGUUACAGGUUCGACUCCUGUCGGGCGCA
rnacentral:tRNA from 1 species